AUGACAGGAGGGACAGGGGGCAAAGCAACAACAACAACUCUUUUCACAAGAUUGACAAGAGGAACUGCAAGUGCCAUAAUUGUGGUAAUACAGACCACUUCAGGUCAGAAUGCACCAAGAAGAGGAAGCCGAAUAGUGAAAGGAAUAAUUUUCACAAGGAUGACAGCCGCAAGGGGAAUCAAUCCCCUGAAGCUGCAGGGGUUUACUGAUGCUGAUUGGCAAGGGGGUCUUGAUGACCGGAAAUCAACUUCUGGUUAUCUGUUUGCGGCGCCUCUGUACUGGGCGAUAUCGCGACGGAGCUCAAAAGAGCUUUGUCUGUUGUGUAGCACUUUCAUCUAUGGAAACUGA
rnacentral:rRNA from 1 species